rnacentral:rRNA from 1 species
CCCUUAGAUGUUCUGGGCCGCACACGCGCUACACUGAAGGAGGCAGCGUGUACUCCUGGAUCGAAAGAUUUGGGUAACCCGCGAAUCUCCUUCGUCUAGGGAUUGAGGUUUGCAAUUAUCCUUCAUGAACGAGGAAUUCCCAGUAAGUGCAAGUCAUAAGCUUGCGCUGACUACGUCCCUGCCCUUUGUACACACCGCCCGUCGCUACUACCGAUUGAAUGAUUUAGUGAGGACUUCGGACUGGGACCGAUGCGGCUUUCGGGCUGCGUCGGUAUUCUGGAAAGAUGUCCAAACUGUAUCAUUUAGAGGAAGUAAAAGUCGUAACA